UUUAGAUCUUCAGUCUAACGCUCUCCCAACUGAGCUAUUUCGGCACGUACAAAACUAACGUCAAUAUAGCCGUACCGAGCAGGCUAGCUCCAUCGCUCUGGAAAGACUACAGAAUCUCUUCAGCAGAGUGAUGAGCCAGCAGGACCUGUCUUUAGCGGGAUAAAUGAAAGAAUAGCGAUAUCGGUAACUAACAGGAACACCAGUGGAGAAAUACAAACUCUUAACGUACCAUCUAACUACAUUUAGCCGUGUUCAGCCAUAUUACGUUAGUCGCCAACUAUGGUCACCAAUUACGUUUAAACACAAGAUGGCGCCAUUAGUGAACAUUAAACGCUGGUUGAUAUUUUAGUCACUGUGGACCUCUGAAAAUAACAAUGGUGACUUUCCUUCCUUCACAGACAUUGCAGCUGUUCCUCGCUUUGUUCUGGAAGGCCUGAGUGUGGAUAAGAGAUGAGAGAGAUUCAGGCCGGCGGAAUAAAGAGAAGGAGAACCAAGGGAGGAAAUGGGGGUGUGAAAGAGGGGGAGACUGAUGAGAUUAUCAAGCAGGAUGAAGGAAUCUACAGUGUUGCUUCACUGCACAAAUCAGUAAGAACGUUUGGAAAUGAGACACAAAGCCCUGAGGAGAAAGAAAUGUCCAGGACUCUGUCCAGAAACUGACAAAAGCCUGCCUGCCUCCGCAGUCAUUGAAAGUGCUGUCCAAAAAUAGUGACUUGGCCCUCCGGAGCAACAAACACCUAACAUGAGAUGUCCUAUGUCAGAAGUUGGGAUUCCUGUGGUUUAAGAUGAAAUUUUACCCACAAUUUUAAUAAAGUUUUCACAAAAUGUU